UGGCCUUGCAGGCCCUGGGCCGGCUAAUUAGGCUUAUGGGCCACAGGUUCCCAAGCACUGCCAAACCAUUUUUAUUUUCAGCACAAAUUCUUUAGAUUAAUACUGAGACCUGAAACCUGCAAGAAACAACUCCUUUAUGGCUGGGCUGGAAGCAGCUGGCCAGGAACAGAACCAAUUCUCAGGAGAAAAUUUGCUCAGGGAGCAUUGCUGUCCGUGCUUCGCUUUCAACAUCUGCUGAGGAAGAAGUGGCUGGCGCCUUGUGUUCUGCUGUGUGAAACUGGGAGAGGAGCUGGCCUGCAAACACCUUAGCUGGGGGAGAACAGGUUCCCCAAAGGAGCAAGAGGCUUCAAUUUUGAGAAGUUCUUUUGGUCUAAGAUGUUUAACAGAGUGCAGUCCAGAGGAACACUGCUGGAGUGGUGGUGAUAGAGACAAAGACGAGGCUUCAUUUGAUGUGGUAGCAACGUGCCCCGAGCUCAGAUGAGGGCACCCAUACUAAAUUGGUAUGUGAAAGCAAGACACAGGGCUAAUUCACGACAGUAUGAGCAUCACUUCCUCGUCACCCAGCACCUGAUGACUCACAACUUAAUGUGUGACCCAACUCCACUGGAAAGCACUGUGUCACAGUGAGGGUAUGAAAAUCCUGCUUCUGAUGUUUCAUCUGUGACGGCUCAAUGGAAUAUAUACAAUCUGUAUUAUGGUAACAAAUUGAGGCUAUGAAGAAAGAUCACAGACCCAUUUCGGCUCUGCAGAUGUGUCAACAGGUGGGAAGAAAAGACUGUAUGUCUUGAAUUCUUUGCAGUCCCUUCUCAACUAUUGUGAACAGCAGGUGAGCAUAACUCAAUGGCUUGUGUAGCACACACUCACCAAACAAAGCAACAGUAUGAAAAAUUUCAAAGUGAGGUGACCAUAGUCAGAAUAGGAACAACAGAAGGAAUCAUACACAUGAAAUAAAUGGUAACCACAGCUGGGAUAAAACAUUCCAAUUCAAGAGUAAAACUUGCACCGUUUCUAUUACCAAAGAGUAGAAUUAACAAAACUCAACAGGCAGCCAGUGAACUUGGCCAUUUUAUAAGCAACCAAAUUACUGAUGAGCCAAUUAUCAUUCAAUAAAAGCAAGAACAGAUUUUCAGUAUGCUUCCUAUAUAAAGAAUGCUCACUUCCUAGUUUUCAGAUUAUGCUAAAAAUAGCAUGAGUGGUUCUCUCGUGAUAUGCUGGAGAGGCAACAGAAGCAUGAGGGUUCUUUAUUCCAAGUAGAAACUCCUCCUAUUCAGUCUAAAUAUAUUAAAACCGCAUAUGGUUCUUUCUAAGACAACUCAGUAGCUGUAACAAUGCUUUAAUUCCUAGUGGCUCAACCGUCUUGGGAUUUUGAUUUUAAAAUAAAAAUAAAAAUACAGAAAUCCACAAAAGGGCCAGAGAAUGUACUCUGGUUUUUUGAAGAGGGGAGAAGAGGCAUGCACUUCUUUCACUUUCUCAUACCUUCAAGCUUAACUUUGAUAAUUUAACCACACUGGAUUAAGUCGGGGAGAAGGGGGAAAGUUUGGCUGAGCAAAUGACUUCUGGUCCUAGUCAGAAGAGACACAAGGCAACAAUGAUCCUGGGUCAGGGCAUGCAUUUAGAGCCUUAGGAGAUCAUGCUAAUGUUUUCUGUAUUUUUAUUUUUAAAGCAUAACUGAAUAUAGAAGAAAAUAAUUUAAUAUUUUAAUGCUAAAUAACACCCAGCAGCUAUUUCUCAAAGAGUAGCAUUUCAGGAUCACACACACAAGCAAAUUUGACGGCAGCAUGCUGAGGUGAAAGGGAUAAGAACGAUGUUUUCCAACAAGACAUAGCACAAUAUAAGCACUUACC